rnacentral:tRNA from 1 species
CAGGAUAUAGCUAAGACAGCUAAAGCAUCUCCCUCACACCGAGAAGUCAUCCGUGCAAUUCGGAUUGCCCUGA